rnacentral:rRNA from 1 species
UACGGAGGGUGCAAGCGUUACUCGGAAUCACUGGGCGUAAAGGGCGCGUAGGCGGCCUAGCAAGUCUGGUGUGAAAGCCCAGGGCUCAACCCUGGAAGGGCACUGGAAACUGUUAGGCUUGAGUUCCGGAGAGGAGGGGGGAAUUCCCGGUGUAGCGGUGAAAUGCGUAGAUAUCGGGAGGAAUACCGGUGGCGAAGGCGCCCCUCUGGACGGAAACUGACGCUGAGGCGCGAAAGCUAGGGGAGCGAAGGGG